rnacentral:rRNA from 1 species
GAUGAACGCUAGCGGAAGGCAUAAUACAUGCAAGUCGAACGGAUGUAGCAAUACAUUAGUGGCGCACGGGUGCGUAACGCGUAUGCAACCUACCUUCAUCAGGGGGAUAACUACUCGAAAGGGUGGCUAACACCGCAUAAUACUACUGAAUGGCAUCAUUUGGUAUUUAAAUCUGAGGAGGAUGAAGAUGGGCAUGCGUCUGAUUAGCUAGUUGGUGUGGUAACGGCGCACCAAGGCGACGAUCAGUAGGGGAACUGAGAGGUUGGUCCCCCACGCUGGCACUGAGAUACGGGCCAGACGCCGACCGGAGGCAGCAGUAGGGAAUAUUGGUCAAUGGUGGGAACACUGAACCAGCCGGUCCGCGUGCAGGAAGAAGUGUCUCUGACUUGUAAACUGCUUUAGCAAGGGAAGAAAAAGCUCAUGCGUGAGAAAUUGACGGUACCUUGAGAAUAAGCACCGGCUAACUACGUGCCAGCCGCCGCCGCGGUAA